rnacentral:rRNA from 1 species
AAGCCUGGGAAACUGGGUCUAAUACCGGAUAUGACUCCUCAUCGCAUGGUGGGGGGUGGAAAGCUUUAUUGUGGUUUUGGAUGGACUCGCGGCCUAUCAGCUUGUUGGUGAGGUAAUGGCUUACCAAGGCGACGACGGGUAGCCGGCCUGAGAGGGUGACCGGCCACACUGGGACUGAGACACGGCCCAGACUCCUACGGGAGGCAGCAGUGGGGAAUAUUGCACAAUGGGCGCAAGCCUGAUGCAGCGACGCCGCGUGAGGGAUGACGGCCUUCGGGUUGUAAACCUCUUUCAGUAGGGAAGAAGCGAAAGUGACGGUACCUGCAGAAGAAGCGCCGGCUAACUACGUGCCAGCAGCCGCGGUAAUACGUAGGGCGCAAGCGUUAUCCGGAAUUAUUGGGCGUAAAGAGCUCGUAGGCGGUUUGUCGCGUCUGCCGUGAAAGUCCGGGGCUCAACUCCGGAUCUGCGGUGGGUACGGGCAGACUAGAGUGAUGUAGGGGAGACUGGAAUUCCUGGUGUAGCGGUGAAAUGCGCAGAUAUCAGGAGGAACACCGAUGGCGAAGGCAGGUCUCUGGGCAUUAACUGACGCUGAGGAGCGAAAGCAUGGGGAGCGAACAGGAUUAGAUACCCUGGUAGUCCAUGCCGUAAACGUUGGGCACUAGGUGUGGGGGACAUUCCACGUUUUCCGCGCC